rnacentral:tRNA from 2 species
GGGCUCGUAGCGCAGAGGUCGUCGCGUCGGCCUGCACAGCCGAAGGACGCCGGUUCGAAUCCGGCAGGGCCCG